AUUGAACGCUGGCGGCAUGCCUUACACAUGCAAGUCGAACGGUAACAGGUCUUCGGAUGCUGACGAGUGGCGAACGGGUGAGUAAUACAUCGGAACGUGCCCGAGAGUGGGGGAUAACGAGGCGAAAGCUUUGCUAAUACCGCAUACGAUCUCAGGAUGAAAGCAGGGGACCGCAAGGCCUUGCGCUCACGGAGCGGCCGAUGGCAGAUUAGGUAGGUGGUGGGAUAAAAGCUUACCAAGCCGACGAUCUGUAGCUGGUCUGAGAGGACGACCAGCCACACUGGGACUGAGACACGGGCCAGACUCCUACGGGAGGCAGCAGUGGGGAAUUUUGGACAAUGGGCGCAAGCCUGAUCCAGCCAUGCCGCGUGCAGGAUGAAGGCCUUCGGGUUGUAAACUGCUUUUGUACGGAACGAAAAGACUCUGGUUAAUACCUGGGGUCCAUGACGGUACCGUAAGAAUAAGCACCGGCUAACUACGUGCCAGCCGCCGCCGUAAAAC
rnacentral:rRNA from 1 species